rnacentral:rRNA from 1 species
UUCCAGACUCCUACGGGAGGCAGCAGUGGGGAAUAUUGCACAAUGGGGGAAACCCUGAUGCAGCAACGCCGCGUGAGUGAAGAAGUAUUUCGGUAUGUAAAGCUCUAUCAGCAGGGAAGAAGAUGACGGUACCUGAGUAAGAAGCCCCGGCUAACUACGUGCCAGCAGCCGCGGUAAUACGUAGGGGGCAAGCGUUAUCCGGAUUUACUGGGUGUAAAGGGAGCGUAGACGGUGAGACAAGUCUGAAGUGAAAGCCUGGGGCUCAACCCCGGGACUGCUUUGGAAACUGCCUGACUGGAGUGCUGGAGAGGCAAGCGGAAUUCCUAGUGUAGCGGUGAAAUGCGUAGAUAUUAGGAAGAACACCAGUGGCGAAGGCGGCUUGCUGGACAGUAACUGACGUUGAGGCUCGAAAGCGUGGGGAGCAAACAGGAUUAGAUACCCCGGUAC